rnacentral:rRNA from 1 species
CAGUAGCCGCGGUAAUACGAAGGGGGCUAGCGUUGUUCGGAAUGACUGGGCGUAAAGGGCGCGUAGGCGGCGGCCAAAGUCAGGCGUGAAAUUCCCGGGCUCAACCUGGGGGCUGCGUUUGAUACUUGGUUGCUUGAGUGGGGAAGAGGGUCGUGGAAUUCCCAGUGUAGAGGUGAAAUUCGUAGAUAUUGGGAAGAACACCGGUGGCGAAGGCGGCGACCUGGUCCUUUACUGACGCUGAGGCGCGAAAGCGUGGGGAGCAAACAGGAUUAGAUACCCCCGUAGUCCCUGUCUCUUAUAC